AGAAUCAACGCUGGCGGCGUGCCUAACACAUGCAAGUCGCACGAGAAAGGGACUUCGGUCCUGAGUAAAGUGGCGCACGGGUGAGUAACACGUGAAUCAUCUACCUCCGAAUGGGGAAUAACUGAGAGAAAUCUUAGCUAAUACCGCAUAAUACCUACGGGUCAAAGCAGCAAUGCGUUUGGAGAGGAGUUCGCGGUCGAUUAGUUAGUUGGCGGGGUAAUGGCCCACCAAGACGAUGAUCGAUAUCCGGCCUGAGAGGGCGCACGGACACACUGGAACUGAAACACGGUCCAGACUCCUACGGGAGGCAGCAGUGGGGAAUUUUGCGCAAUGGGGGAAACCCUGACGCAGCAACGCCGCGUGGAGGAUGAAAUAUCUUGGUAUGUAAACUCCUUUCGAUGGGGAAGAUAAUGACGGUACCCAUAGAAGAAGCCCGGCUAACUUCGCGCCAGCAGCCGC
rnacentral:rRNA from 1 species